rnacentral:rRNA from 1 species
GAUGAACGCUGGCGGCGUGCCUAAUACAUGCAAGUCGAGCGAACGGACGAGAAGCUUGCUUCUCUGAUGUUAGCGGCGGACGGGUGAGUGACACGUGGAUAACCUACCUAUAAGACUGGGAUAACUUCGGGAAACCGGAGCUAAUACCGGAUAAUAUUUUGAACCGCAUGGUUCAAAAGUGAAAGACGGUCUUGCUGUCACUUAUAGAUGGAUCCGCGCCGCAUUAGCUAGUUGGUAAGGUAACGGCUUACCAAGGCAACGAUGCAUAGCCGACCUGAGAGGGUGAUCGGCCACACUGGAACUGAGACACGGUCCAGACUCCUACGGGAGGCAGCAGUAGGGAAUCUUCCGCAAUGGGCGAAAGCCUGACGGAGCAACGCCGCGUGAGUGAUGAAGGUCUUCGGAUCGUAAAACUCUGUUAUUAGGGAAGAACAUAUGUGUAAGUAACUGUGCACAUCUUGACGGUACCUAAUCAGAAAGCCACGGCUAACUACGUG